rnacentral:tRNA from 1 species
GGCGGGGGCAGCUCAGGGCAGAGCACGUGCCCAGCAAGCAUGAGGUCCUGGGUUCGAUCCCCAGCACCUCCA